rnacentral:rRNA from 1 species
GUGAGGAAUAUUGGUCAAUGGGCGCGAGCCUGAACCAGCCAAGUCGCGUGAGGGAUGACGGCCCUACGGGUUGUAAACCUCUUUUGUCGGGGAGCAAAUUCCGCCACGUGUGGCGGAGUCGAGAGUACCCGAAGAAAAAGCAUCGGCUAACUCCGUGCCAGCAGCCGCGGUAAUACGGAGGAUGCGAGCGUUAUCCGGAUUUAUUGGGUUUAAAGGGUGCGUAGGCGGACUGUCAAGUCAGCGGUAAAAUACGGGGGCUCAACCUCCGCCCGCCGUUGAAACUGACGGUCUUGAGUGGGCGAGAAGUAUGCGGAAUGCGUGGUGUAGCGGUGAAAUGCAUAGAUAUCACGCAGAACUCCGAUUGCGAAGGCAGCAUACCGGCGCCCAACUGACGCUGAAGCACGAAAGCGUGGGUAUCGAACAGGA